GAAAUUCUUUGUUGGGGAGAGUAUUCUGCUAGGACUGCUGUAAAAUACUCCCCAUUUCCAACAAACCUUCCUUUUGUGCUUUUAAAAUUUCUUGUUACUGUUUUUUUCAGAGGGAAGAUCAGUCUGAAUUAUGUUGCUAGAAAAAAAGUUCAAACUUUGGUUUGGAUACAAAAAUAAAUUCUGAAUCUAAUUGACCACAUCCAACAUGAGUUAAUAUUUGGCAAUUUUGAUAAAUUCCAUCUUCCAGGUUUUUGUGCUUUUCUGUUUAAGUUUCAGACAGACGUUCCAGGGGAAUUUUAAAAUUGUCUUGGAACCCUUGAUGGUAGAUUGUAAGAAGCAGGUACUGGGGAAAAAGAUUGCAGGCAGGGCAAAGAGCUUUUCUCUUUCUGCUUUCCUUUUUAGUUGUGUAGUGAGAAGAAAGCAACGGUAAUGAGUGCAAUUGUGCCAGUGACACCCUAAAAACCAGCUGGAACUCAUAUUUAACUCUUACACUUCUUUAUGAUUACUUUUUGUUGUAAUAUGAAGAGAUUAGAAAAUGGGGUUCUGGAAAAAUUAGCAAGUCCAAUUUCAGAGGGUUAAUAAGGAUCAUUAAUUUCCAGUGAUUACUGCAGAGCAUGCUCACCUGUGCCUGUAGCUGUGCUGUUUGGCUGCCUCGGGUCCUCGCAGAGCCUCGUGGCUCCUGUGCAGGGACCUGCUGGUGCGAAAGGGGAGCCUGCUGCGGGUGCUGCGAGGAGGCUGCUGGGGAAGUUCCCCGACGUGGCUGCAUGGCUCUGGGCAUGCAGCCAGUUGUGCUGGGACCAACCACCCAUCACGUGCAGAGCUGGACUGCAGUACAGCCAAACGAACCUCAGCAGGAUGUGAUCUUAAAGACAGCUUCAUUAGGAUGCUUAAAGAAUUAGAUGUGAUUGGUAAAGCCCCUCGAAAUGGAAAAGAAUAGAGGAGAAAAAGUGUGAGGCACGAUGGAUGCUAAGAGCCCUUGUUUUCCAGUAAGCAGCAUGAUUGGCAGCAGAAAUAAACACUAGCGGGAAGCUUGUGUAUCA
rnacentral:lncRNA from 1 species